rfam:Schistosoma mattheei strain Denwood, Zambia genome assembly, scaffold: SMTD_scaffold0000602
ACCCAGCUGAGUAGUCCUAAAUAGGACGGAACGCGCGUCCUGUAU